AUGAACGCUGGCGGCGUGCCUAAUACCUGCAAGUCGAGCGCACAGACGAGGAGCUUGCUCCUUUGACGUUAGCGGCGGACGGGUGAGUAACACGUGGGUAACCUACCUAUAAGACUGGGAUAACUUCGGGAAACCGGAGCUAAUACCGGAUAAUAUUUCGAACCGCAUGGUUCGAUAGUGAAAGAUGGCUUUGCUAUCACUUAUAGAUGGACCUGCGCCGUAUUAGCUAGUUGGUAAGGUAACGGCUUACCAAGGCAACGAUACGUAGCCGACCUGAGAGGGUGAUCGGCCACACUGGAACUGAGACACGGUCCAGACUCCUACGGGAGGCAGCAGUAGGGAAUCUUCCGCAAUGGGCGAAAGCCUGACGGAGCAACGCCGCGUGAGUGAUGAAGGUCUUCGGAUCGUAAAACUCUGUUAUUAGGGAAGAACAAACGUGUAAGUAACUGUGCACGUCUUGACGGUACCUAAUCAGAAAGCCACGGCUAACUACGUG
rnacentral:rRNA from 1 species